UUUCAAAGCUUCGAACUGGUCAGACAACUUUGGGACACCUGGGAGCAGGAGCCAAGGAAGCAGAGCAGGAGCUAAGCAGACGCUAGGCAGCAGGAGCUAGGGGAAGAGUUGGAGGCUGGACAGGCGGACGGAUCCACAGCUGUAGCAUGAAGCUGCUGCCCAGCUGGAGAGCCCGGCUGCCUGAGGGCCUGUGGAGCAGGGCCUGGCCAUGGGCGCAACAACCCAGAAGAACUGCUCACAGCUGUGCCCCAAAGAUGAGGGCCCAGGAGAACCUGGAGGGCCGGACACAGCAUGAGUCCCUGGGCUCUGCAGGGAACUCCGAGAGGGAUCCCACGGUGUCCCUGCCCAGAGAGCCCAAGUUUGACAUGUUGUACAAGAUCGAGGAUGUGCCACCCUGGUACCUGUGUAUUCUGCUGGGCUUCCAGCAUUACUUGACAUGCUUCAGUGGCACCAUUGCUGUGCCCUUCCUCCUGGCUGAGGCGCUGUGUGUGGGCCGGGACCAGCACAUGGUCAGCCAGCUCAUCGGGACGAUCUUCACCUGCGUGGGCAUCACCACCCUCAUCCAGACCACACUGGGAAUCCGGCUGCCGUUGUUCCAGGCCAGCGCCUUUGCAUUUCUGGUCCCAGCCAAAGCCAUCCUGGCCCUGGAGAGAUGGAAAUGCCCCCCGGAAGAGGAUAUCUACGGUAACUGGAGUCUUCCCCUGAAUACCUCUCAUAUCUGGCACCCACGGAUACGAGAGGUCCAGGGUGCAAUCAUAGUGUCCAGCAUGGUGGAGGUGGUGAUCGGGCUGAUGGGGCUGCCUGGGGCCCUGCUCAGCUACAUAGGACCUCUCACGGUCACCCCCACUGUCUCCCUCAUUGGCCUGUCUGUCUUCCAAGCUGCCGGUGACCGAGCUGGUUCCCACUGGGGCAUCUCAGCUUGUUCCAUUCUCCUGAUCAUCCUCUUCUCCCAGUACCUGCGUAACCUCACCUUCCUGCUGCCUAUCUACCGCUGGGGCAAGGGCCUGACUCUCUUCCGCAUCCAGAUCUUCAAGAUGUUUCCAAUUGUGCUGGCCAUCAUGACCGUGUGGCUGCUCUGCUACAUCCUGACCCUGACAAACGUGCUGCCCUCAGACCCCACCGCUUACGGCUUCCAGGCACGGACAGAUGCACGAGGGGACAUCAUGGCUAUUGCACCCUGGAUCCGCAUUCCCUACCCCUGUCAGUGGGGCCUGCCCACAGUGACUGCGGCUGCUGUCCUGGGAAUGUUCAGUGCCACACUGGCAGGCAUCAUUGAGUCCAUCGGAGAUUACUAUGCUUGUGCCCGCCUGGCGGGUGCCCCACCCCCUCCUGUACAUGCCAUCAACAGGGGUAUCUUCACUGAAGGCAUCUGCUGCAUUAUCGCAGGGCUGCUGGGCACAGGCAAUGGGUCCACGUCAUCCAGCCCCAACAUUGGUGUUCUGGGGAUUACCAAGGUGCCACAAGCCAGAGCCACACAAAGUGCCCCCCUGCCAUUCCUUGUACUGCAGCCCCACCUGACCUAUGAACCAUCCAACCCCACAAUGAGCCUGGGGCCCUUUCGUGCUCGCUUUUGUGACAGGUCCUGCCUGCCUUCCCUCCGCAAGCUCAGCCACCCAGGUCCAUUCCAGGGCCUAACCCUACCCCCGGCUCCCAUGCAGGUAGGCAGCCGGCGUGUGGUACAGUACGGUGCGGGAAUCAUGCUCGUCCUGGGCACAGUUGGCAAGUUCACCGCCCUUUUUGCUUCACUCCCUGACCCCAUACUGGGGGGUAUGUUCUGCACCCUUUUUGGCAUGAUUACGGCUGUGGGGCUAUCCAACUUGCAGUUUGUGGACAUGAACUCCUCCCGCAACCUGUUCGUGCUCGGAUUUUCUAUGUUCUUUGGGCUCACGCUGCCCAAUUACCUGGAGUCCAACCCUGGCACCAUAAACACAGGCAUUCCUGAAGUGGACCAGAUUCUGACUGUGCUGCUGACCACAGAGAUGUUCGUGGGUGGGUGCCUCGCUUUCAUACUGGACAACACAGUGCCAGGGAGCCCAGAAGAACGAGGUCUGAUACAAUGGAAAGCUGGGGCCCAUGCCAACAGUGAGAUGUCCACCAGCCUCAAGAGCUAUGACUUCCCCAUUGGGAUGAACAUUGUAAAAAGAAUUGCCUUUCUGAAAUACAUUCCUAUCUGCCCAGUCUUCAAAGGAUUUUCUUCAAGGUCGAAAACCCAGCCUCCAGUUCCAGAAGACACUCCAGAAAAUAUACAAACUGGAUCUGCAUGCACUAAAGUCUGAAAAAUUACUCCUAGUAAAGAUACACGCAUAAGGACACACCUGACAUUCUGGAAUCGAAUAAAGCCUGCUCUCAGCAAAUCUUGCCAGCAGGGUUGUCCUGAAGUACUGAGCCCACACUAAAGAAGCAAGGUUUGUAACAG